rnacentral:sRNA from 1 species
GCCAAAACCAAAAAAAAA